rnacentral:rRNA from 1 species
AGUGAACGCUGGCGGUAGGCCUAACACAUGCAAGUCGAACGGCAGCACAGUAAGAGCUUGCUCUUACGGGUGGCGAGUGGCGGACGGGUGAGGAAUACAUCGGAAUCUACUUUUUCGUGGGGGAUAACGUAGGGAAACUUACGCUAAUACCGCAUACGACCUACGGGUGGAAGCAGGGGAUCUUCGGACCUUGCGCGAUUGAAUGAGCCGAUGUCGGAUUAGCUAGUUGGCGGGGUAAAGGCCCACCAAGGCGACGUUCCGUAGCUGGUCUGAGAGGAUGAUCAGCCACACUGGAACUGAGACACGGUCCAGACUCCUACGGGAGGCAGCAGUGGGGAAUAUUGGACAAUGGGCGCAAGCCUGAUCCAGCCAUACCGCGUGGGUGAAGAGGGCCUUCGGGUUGUAAAGCCCUUUUGUUGGGAAAGAAAAGCAGCAGGUUAAUACCCCGCUGUUCUGACGGUACCCAAAGAAUAAGCACCGGCUAACUUCGUG